AACGUAGGGCGCAAGCGUUAUCCGGAGUUACUGGGCGUAAAGCGCGGGCAGGCGGUCUUGCCAGUCUGAUGUGAAAUCUCUCAGCUCAACUGGGAGCAGCCAUUGGAAACUACAAGACUGGAGUCUGGCAGAGGUAGGCGGAAUUCCGGGUGGAGUGGUGAAAUGCGUAGAGAUCCGGAGGAACACCAGAGGCGAAGGCGGCCUACUGGGCCAGUACUGACGCUGAGGUGCGAAAGCGUGGGGAGCAAACAGG
rnacentral:rRNA from 1 species